rnacentral:rRNA from 1 species
UACGUAGGUGGCAAGCGUUGUCCGGAUUUACUGGGCGUAAAGAGCGCGCAGGCGGCUGGGCAAGUCCGAUGUGAAAGCUUCCGGCUUAACUGGAAAAUUGCAUCGGAAACUGCUCGGCUUGAAGGUGGGAGAGGGUAGCGGAAUUCCCGUUGUAGUGGUGAAAUGCGUAGAUAUCGGGAGGAACACCAGUGGCGAAGGCGGCUACCUGGCCCACUCUUGACGCUGAGGCGCGAAAGCUAGGGGAGCAAACGGG